CCCUGGCUGACGAGUCCCAAACAGGACGAAACGCGCGUCCUGGAU
rnacentral:hammerhead_ribozyme from 13 species